rnacentral:rRNA from 1 species
UUUAACUGGAGAGUUUGAUUCUGGCUCAGAACAAACGCUGGCGGCGUGCCUAAUACAUGCAAGUCGAACGAGGAAAGCUUUCGGGUGAGUACUAGUGGCGCACGGGUGAGGAAUACAUGGGUAAUCUGCCCUCAAGUUUGGGAUAACAAGUCGAAAGAUUUGCUAAUACCGGAUAAGACCACAGGAGCUGAGGCUCUAGGGGUUAAAGGUUUUUCGCUUGAGGAUGAGCCCAUGUGGGAUUAGCUAGUUGGUGAGGUAAUGGCUCACCAAGG